rnacentral:sRNA from 1 species
GGGGAGUCAGUUACUAACUUCAUCUUUUCUUUUCUUAUGAGUCAGUUGUGUCAUUUUUAACUU